UGGGUCGGCUGGACGGUCGCGUGGCGGGCUUGCCCGCACCGAGGAACGUCCGGGCUCCACAGGGCAGGGCGGUGGGUAACACCCACCCGGAGCGAUCCGCGAGACAGUGCCACAGAGAGCAGACCGCCCCGGCAUGGCCGGGGUAAGGGUGAAAGGGUGGUGUAAGAGACCACCGGGGGCGUGGUGACACGCCCCGCAUGGUAAACCUCGCCCGGAGCAAGGUCAGACAGGGGAUGCCGACGCGGCCCGCCGAGUCCCCGGGUAGACCGCUGGAGCGGCACGGCAACGUGUCGCCGAGAGAGAUGACCGUCCACGGAGCACCCGCUCCCGGACAGAACCCGGCGUACAGGCCGGCCCAUUCG
rnacentral:RNase_P_RNA from 2 species